GACGAACGCUGGCGGCGUGCUUAACGCAUGCAAGUCGAGCGGUAAGGCCCUUUCGGGGGUACACGAGCGGCGAACGGGUGAGUAACACGUGGGUGACCUGCCCUUAGCUCUGGGAUAAGCCUGGGAAACUGGGUCUAAUACCGGAUAUGACUCCAUAACGCAUGUUGUGGGGUGGAAAGCCUUGUGCGGCUAGGGAUGGGCCCGCGGCCUAUCAGCUUGUUGGUGGGGUGAUGGCCUACCAAGGCGACGACGGGUAGCCGGCCUGAGAGGGCGACCGGCCACACUGGGACUGAGACACGGCCCAGACUCCUACGGGAGGCAGCAGUGGGGAAUCUUGCGCAAUGGGCGAAAGCCUGACGCAGCGACGCCGCGUGGGGAUGACGGCCUCGGUU
rnacentral:rRNA from 1 species